ACACAAUGGCUUUACUCGUCUUGGCUUUCUCGCUUACGAGCGCUCCUCUUCGAAGAUCACCCUGGCCGAUCUCUGCGCCUCUUUCUUUUUUUUUUCCCAAAGAUUCACCUCGACUUCGCGACAACGAAGUUCGUCGAGUCCAUUAGAGUGAAGAAACCAUAUCUGUUUUGGUCGAGCUCUCUGCUGCCGAUCACGCUCGCCGUCUCCGCUGGGUCGCUGAUCGUUCAGGGUCCUCCCCAGACGUCUUUUUGAAACGCUUCCAGCCUCAACUCUAGUGGUGUGAGCUUUGGAGGCAAAGGCAGCACAGAAUUUGUUGUGAAGGGUUCGCUUAAGGAAAUUCCUCAACAACUUAUUGAUGAAUUGAAAGCUAUCUGUCAAUUCAACUGGAAAAUAUGACAAUGGAUCAUGAAGAGAGGUUAUUCCAUGGCAAACCAAACCACAAAACAGCUUUCACUAAGCAGUUAAUAUCCCCGAUGUGGUUGUUUUCUGAGAUCAGAAGAGGAAGUUUCCAAGAUUGUGAAAUCUUGUGACAAGCAUAAGAUACCUAUUGUAACAUAUGGUGGAGCUGCAUCGAUUGAAGCUCACACCCUCACACCUUAUCUCCUCAUGGAGGUGUUUGCAUUGACAUGUCAUUAAUGAAAGUAUGGAUCCUCGUUCAAAAAAAAUGAAGCUAUGGAUCAUUGUAGCUCAUUGUACGUUUGUUGAUAUUGAAGGAUGUUUAUGUUCCUCUAUCAUGCCUUGCAGAAUUGAUAUCAAGGUCAAACAAGAGCUAGAUGCAUCACCAAUGUUUGCACUGUCAUUGCUCAUGCAAGUUAUGGGAACUUCCACACUGUGAUUCUGUUUGAUCUCGACCAAGAAGAGCAGAGGCAGGAAGCAGAGAGACUUAACCAGUUUAUGGAACAUACUGCCUUGUCAAUGGAAGGUGCAGAGUGUUGUUCCUUUGUUUUUGUCCUGUGUAGUGUUAGGAAAUGGUAAUUGGCGUAGUCAAUUAGUUGUUAUUCUUGUAUCUUAUUUAACUCAAAUGCUAUUAGAAAACAGUCUCUAUAUUCAUAUUGUAUUUCUGCACAAAAGAAGUGUACAUCUAAUUGCUGGAAAAGAUGUCAUAUUUCUGCCAAUCUGCCAUUGAAUGGUAUGACCCUGAAGAUGCUCUGGUUCUAAACUUUGCUUCUCUUGCUCUCUUUCCAAAAAAAAAGGAACAUGUACUGGUGAACAUGGUGUUGGCACAGGAAAGAUGAAGGUAUUUGUAUUUAUAUAUGAAACUGCUUCUUGUAGUAUGCUCAGAUGUGAUUUACAUUUGCAUUGGUAUAUAAGAUCAUUUGUGUACUUGUACAUGCACAUGCACAUUUUUCAUGCUUUGGCCAAGCCAUGAGAUGACAUGUGGCUUUGGAUGUCUAAGCAUAGGAGUGCCUCUUGCUUGGCAACUGGCAAUGUGUUUUGAAUAGGUGUGUAGCAGGAUAUACUUUGAUCUCUUCAUGGAGUUGUGGUGGAUGAGAUGUGCAUUAGUAGCUAACUCACUGUGAUAUAUGUUUGCAUGACUUGUGGGUACUUGCAAUACUGAAGUUUAAUGUAACUUUUGCUGUCUUGAUUAUUCUCAGCCAAGCUUCAUCAUAUUCAAGCUACUGCAUCCGUUCUCCAAUUUUCUUGUCAUUUAUAUUUGUUUAAAUGCGAUAAGUUGGUGUCAUGGUAUUUGCUUCUCUGUUUUCAGGAUCUUGAAAAGGAAUUUGGAAUGACAAUGAAAAGAAUAAAAUCGGCUUUAGAUCCCAACAAUACCAUGAAUCCAGGAAAGCUCAUUCCGCCCUAUGUUUGCUUCUGAGAGAGAGAUCUCCAUGCACCCGCACUUUUUCUUGAGUGCUGUUGUAUCUCACAGGGAACAUAUAAAUAUAUCUUUCCCCUGCUGCUGCCUCUUUGAGGCUGGUGCUGGUGGCACCACCUACAGCUUGCGGGGAGGUAAUCCCUUUACUAGAAACAAUAUAAUAGGGCUGGGUACUGUCUUGGUACUUCUGGUUAACUGGAACGACAUACCUCGUGGAGAGACUGCAUGAUCAAUAGGUGGAAUCUGGAGUCAAUCGUAUAGGUUCGAAACCCUGGUUGGUUGGUUGGCUGGUUUGUGAUUUGACAAGUACUGAAGACGUUCCUUCGUCGUAUGUCCAAGAGGUUUUGAAUCUUCAAUUAAAAGUAAAAUAAAGAAUGAUUCUAGAUUUUAUUGGUCUGCUGGUGAGAUUUCAAGUUAGAGUUAGGUUAGUGCCAGGCUUCUAGGAUUUGGACAAGGAAGAUCUUCGUAUAGCCAUAUGGUGGUGUCAUGAUAGUGGAGAUCUUCUAUAUACAAUAUUUGCAUGAUAGCUAGACAUGAAAUGAAUGCAUUGCUGCUUGUCUAAGAUAAAGCGAUGGAGGCUUGUCAUUUAGGAUGAACAGAAAGUAUAGCCUCCAAACAAGCUGCGUCCAGUAAUUGUUAUGUGCUUGAGAGAAGAAGUCAAUGUUUAUUAGAACAAAGGCUGACAAAACAAGAGUGGGACGAAGUAGACUCAAGAUACGCGUGAAGCUUUAAAAAGUUGUUUGUUUUCCUUGGACAAUUCAAGAUCUUUUUGUUUUUUUGAUAAGCAGUCAAUUCAAGAUCAUAUCGAAGAUUAUUCGAGGAUCUUCAUAAUUUGGAUCCCAAUUAUUCAUAACAGAAUCCUUUAUGGAUUGAGACACUGCGAGAAUUUUGGUAUCGUAUGUAAUUCUAUAAGGUAUAACACUCUUCCUAUCUAUUUCUCUGCAGUCAUUUUCAACUUUUACUUAUCUUUCUCAGAAUCAAGUGUUUCUAUGAUUCAGCAUUUAUUGUAGUCCACAGGAUAUACCACCUUAAACAGCAUCCAAAUCGACUCAACGGUUGAGCAUAAUUGUGCUGCCAUCUUUAUCUGCUGCUUGGAUCGAAUCCCCCUUCGUGUAGGAGGUAAGAUCUGUUCAUAGAUUAGACAAAUGAAUAAUAGAUGCCACUAUUGGGUGUACUUAAUACAAAUACGGAUAAUGAAGGUUCAUGCACCUAGCUAGAACAAUUUCUGACAUAAUUUUAAAUCGCAGUCAAAGUCCCAGCUUCGUAUAA